UGAAGGAUGAUCUAGGUAGAAGCAAAGUCAAACCAUCUGCCCAUAUACUCACUACAGGAAAAGGGGCUGACUGAGACACUGCAUCAUCCUCUCUAUGAACCAUCUGAAAGAGCAAAGAACAGUAUCAUGACCUUGAAGACAAAGCUCACUUCACUCAAGCAGGAUCCAGAAGCAUUGUCCUUGCUGUGUACUGACUCCCAGUUUGUGAGGCGGCAGUCCACUAGAGCAACUGUCACUAUUACUUCAGAUUAUACCUGCCUUACAGGCAAGAGGAAUGCUGGCACAAAUGAAAUAAAAUGUUUCGACUAAAUUUUAAAGAGGGUGAUUCCAGAUCCAAUGAAGUUGACAACCAGAACUGAUCAUCACAACAGCUGUCCUUAAUAUAGGGCAAUGCCAUCCUGCAGAACCAGAGAACAUUUGAAAAGCAUGUGUCUGCCAAAGCAAUUUUACUCAGAAUCUAUAAAUUGUUUUUACUUCUCAUUAAGAGAAGAUAAGAAGAACUGUUAAUUCUUCUUUGGAAGUGAGAUAUCCUCUAAAGAAGGUAUUAUCAUAACUACACACAUCAAUGAAAAUUGAAAAACCAGUGAUGAGUAUCCUUUGAAGUGGUAAAUGUUAUGGACGGCAUGUGCACUUCACAUCUAGAGAACUGUUAAAAAUAAUCAAAAUAUUGGCACUGAGGAGAUGGAUCACUCAGUGAAGACCUUGCCAUGAGGACUUGAUGAAUAGAAUUGCAAAUGAUCUUACUUAUUGUUUGGUACAACAGAAAAAUAUAAGAAGAAAAUUGAUUUGUGCAUUCACCAAUAGGAGACAGGUACAUGAGUUAUUUUCUUUCAUUUAAACCACCUCAGAACACAAGAGAUCAGUGAGGACAUAUUCACAUCUAAAUAAGGGAGAAGCAAGAUUCACAUGGAUGUAAGCACAGAGAAUACCAUAUUGCGGUGACCCCAGUGACUCAUGAAGCUAACUUGAAUGGACACAGCUCAUGGAGUUGCAGACUAUAUUUCUCCUUUAAAAUUUAUUUUGUGUGUCUAUAGUCUACCUACCUAACUACAUACUCAAAUAUGUGUGUUAUAUUUUUGAGAGUGGACCUUUACCACUCCAAAAUGGGAUUAAAUGGGAGUUAACUGCCUAAGUCCAAUAACUGAUAUUGAAAAAAAGCUCUUGACUACAAAA